UACGGAGGGUGCAAGCGUUAAUCGGAAUUACUGGGCGUAAAGAGUACGUAGGUGGUUUAUUAAGUCAGAUGUGAAAGCCCUGGGCUUAACCUGGGAACUGCAUUUGAUACUGGUAGACUAGAGUAUGGCAGAGGGGGGUAGAAUUCCUAGUGUAGCGGUGAAAUGCGUAGAUAUUAGGAGGAAUACCAGUGGCGAAGGCGGCCCCCUGGACCAAUACUGACACUGAGGUACGAAAGCGUGGGGAGCAAACAGG
rnacentral:rRNA from 1 species